CCUACGGGUGGCAGCAGUAGGGAAUCUUCCACAAUGGGCGAAAGCCUGAUGGAGCAACGCCGCGUGGGUGAAGAAGGUCUUCGGAUCGUAAAACCCUGUUGUUAGAGAAGAAAGUGCGUGAGAGUAACUGUUCACGUUUCGACGGUAUCUAACCAAAAAGCCACGGCUAACUACGUGCCAGCAGCCGCGGUAAUACGGAGGUUGCAAGCGUUAUCCGGAUUUAUUGGGGUUAAAGGGAGCGCAGUCGGAUUGUCAAGUCAGUGGUAAAAUUUCGGGGCUCAACCCCGUCGUGCCAGUGAAACUGGCGUUCUUGAGUGAGCGAGAAGUAUGCAGAAUGCGUGGUGUAGCGGUGAAAUGCAUAGAUAUCACGCAGAACUCCGAUUGCGAAGGCAGCAUACCGGCGCUCAACUGACGCUCAUGCACGAAAGCGUGGGUAUCGAACAGGAUUAGAUACCCCGGUAGUC
rnacentral:rRNA from 1 species